AUUGAACGCUGGCGGCAGGCUUAACACAUGCAAGUCGAGCGGAGAGAGGUAGCUUGCUACUGAUCUUAGCGGCGGACGGGUGAGUAAUGCUUAGGAAUCUGCCUAUUAGUGGGGGACAACAUUUCGAAAGGAAUGCUAAUACCGCAUACGUCCUACGGGAGAAAGCAGGGGAUCUUCGGACCUUGCGCUAAUAGAUGAGCCUAAGUCGGAUUAGCUAGUUGGUGGGGUAAAGGCCUACCAAGGCGACGAUCUGUAGCGGGUCUGAGAGGAUGAUCCGCCACACUGGGACUGAGACACGGCCCAGACUCCUACGGGAGGCAGCAGUGGGGAAUAUUGGACAAUGGGCGGAAGCCUGAUCCAGCCAUGCCGCGUGUGUGAAGAAGGCCUUAUGGUUGUAAAGCACUUUAAGCGAGGAGGAGGCUACUUUAGUUAAUACCUAGAGAUAGUGGACGUUACUCGCAGAAUAAGCACCGGCUAACUCUGUGCCAGCGGCCGCCGUAAAAC
rnacentral:rRNA from 1 species